rfam:Sorghum bicolor cultivar BTx623 chromosome 3, whole genome shotgun sequence.
AUUCCAUGAUGGGGACAUUCUAGGAUGAAGUCUUGGAAACGCUCCCAUGCUUCUGGAACAGAUUCAUCAUUUUGUUGCUGAAAACUUGUAAUCUUCCCACAGAGAGC